rnacentral:rRNA from 1 species
UACGGAGGGAGCUAGCGUUGUUCGGAAUUACUGGGCGUAAAGCGCACGUAGGCGGCGAUUCAAGUCAGAGGUGAAAGCCCGGGGCUCAACCCCGGAACUGCCUUUGAAACUAGAUUGCUAGAAUCCUGGAGAGGUGAGUGGAAUUCCGAGUGUAGAGGUGAAAUGCGCAGAUAUCAGGAAGAACACCAAUGGCGAAAGCAGCUUUCUGGGACGGUACUGACGCUGAGACGCGAAAGCGUGGGGAGCGAACAGG